UUAAGCGACUAAGCGUACACGGUGGAUGCCCUGGCAGUCAGAGGCGAUGAAGGACGUGCUAAUCUGCGAUAAGCGUCGGUAAGGUGAUAUGAACCGUUAUAACCGGCGAUUUCCGAAUGGGGAAACCCAGUGUGAUUCGUCACACUAUCAUUAACUGAAUCCAUAGGUUAAUGAGGCGAACCGGGGGAACUGAAACAUCUAAGUACCCCGAGGAAAAGAAAUCAACCGAGAUUCCCCCAGUAGCGGCGAGCGAACGGGGAGCAGCCCAGAGCCUGAAUCAGUGUGUGUGUUAGUGGAAGCGUCUGGAAAGGCGCGCGAUACAGGGUGACAGCCCCGUACACAAAAAUGCACAUGUUGUGAGCUCGAUGAGUAGGGCGGGACACGUGGUAUCCUGUCUGAAUAUGGGGGGACCAUCCUCCAAGGCUAAAUACUCCUGACUGACCGAUAGUGAACCAGUACCGUGAGGGAAAGGCGAAAAGAACCCCGGCGAGGGGAGUGAAAAAGAACCUGAAACCGUGUACGUACAAGCAGUGGGAGCACGCUUAGGCGUGUGACUGCGUACCUUUUGUAUAAUGGGUCAGCGACUUAUAUUCUGUAGCAAGGUUAACCGAAUAGGGGAGCCGAAGGGAAACCGAGUCUUAACUGGGCGUUAAGUUGCAGGGUAUAGACCCGAAACCCGGUGAUCUAGCCAUGGGCAGGUUGAAGGUUGGGUAACACUAACUGGAGGACCGAACCGACUAAUGUUGAAAAAUUAGCGGAUGACUUGUGGCUGGGGGUGAAAGGCCAAUCAAACCGGGAGAUAGCUGGUUCUCCCCGAAAGCUAUUUAGGUAGCGCCUCGUGAAUUCAUCUCCGGGGGUAGAGCACUGUUUCGGCAAGGGGGUCAUCCCGACUUACCAACCCGAUGCAAACUGCGAAUACCGGAGAAUGUUAUCACGGGAGACACACGGCGGGUGCUAACGUCCGUCGUGAAGAGGGAAACAACCCAGACCGCCAGCUAAGGUCCCAAAGUCAUGGUUAAGUGGGAAACGAUGUGGGAAGGCCCAGACAGCCAGGAUGUUGGCUUAGAAGCAGCCAUCAUUUAAAGAAAGCGUAAUAGCUCACUGGUCGAGUCGGCCUGCGCGGAAGAUGUAACGGGGCUAAACCAUGCACCGAAGCUGCGGCAGCGACACUAUGUGUUGUUGGGUAGGGGAGCGUUCUGUAAGCCUGUGAAGGUGUACUGUGAGGUAUGCUGGAGGUAUCAGAAGUGCGAAUGCUGACAUAAGUAACGAUAAAGCGGGUGAAAAGCCCGCUCGCCGGAAGACCAAGGGUUCCUGUCCAACGUUAAUCGGGGCAGGGUGAGUCGACCCCUAAGGCGAGGCCGAAAGGCGUAGUCGAUGGGAAACAGGUUAAUAUUCCUGUACUUGGUGUUACUGCGAAGGGGGGACGGAGAAGGCUAUGUUGGCCGGGCGACGGUUGUCCCGGUUUAAGCGUGUAGGCUGGUUUUCCAGGCAAAUCCGGAAAAUCAAGGCUGAGGCGUGAUGACGAGGCACUACGGUGCUGAAGCAACAAAUGCCCUGCUUCCAGGAAAAGCCUCUAAGCAUCAGGUAACAUCAAAUCGUACCCCAAACCGACACAGGUGGUCAGGUAGAGAAUACCAAGGCGCUUGAGAGAACUCGGGUGAAGGAACUAGGCAAAAUGGUGCCGUAACUUCGGGAGAAGGCACGCUGAUAUGUAGGUGAAGUCCCUCGCGGAUGGAGCUGAAAUCAGUCGAAGAUACCAGCUGGCUGCAACUGUUUAUUAAAAACACAGCACUGUGCAAACACGAAAGUGGACGUAUACGGUGUGACGCCUGCCCGGUGCCGGAAGGUUAAUUGAUGGGGUUAGCGCAAGCGAAGCUCUUGAUCGAAGCCCCGGUAAACGGCGGCCGUAACUAUAACGGUCCUAAGGUAGCGAAAUUCCUUGUCGGGUAAGUUCCGACCUGCACGAAUGGCGUAAUGAUGGCCAGGCUGUCUCCACCCGAGACUCAGUGAAAUUGAACUCGCUGUGAAGAUGCAGUGUACCCGCGGCAAGACGGAAAGACCCCGUGAACCUUUACUAUAGCUUGACACUGAACAUUGAGCCUUGAUGUGUAGGAUAGGUGGGAGGCUUUGAAGUGUGGACGCCAGUCUGCAUGGAGCCGACCUUGAAAUACCACCCUUUAAUGUUUGAUGUUCUAACGUUGACCCGUGAUCCGGGUUGCGGACAGUGUCUGGUGGGUAGUUUGACUGGGGCGGUCUCCUCCUAAAGAGUAACGGAGGAGCACGAAGGUUGGCUAAUCCUGGUCGGACAUCAGGAGGUUAGUGCAAUGGCAUAAGCCAGCUUGACUGCGAGCGUGACGGCGCGAGCAGGUGCGAAAGCAGGUCAUAGUGAUCCGGUGGUUCUGAAUGGAAGGGCCAUCGCUCAACGGAUAAAAGGUACUCCGGGGAUAACAGGCUGAUACCGCCCAAGAGUUCAUAUCGACGGCGGUGUUUGGCACCUCGAUGUCGGCUCAUCACAUCCUGGGGCUGAAGUAGGUCCCAAGGGUAUGGCUGUUCGCCAUUUAAAGUGGUACGCGAGCUGGGUUUAGAACGUCGUGAGACAGUUCGGUCCCUAUCUGCCGUGGGCGCUGGAGAACUGAGGGGGGCUGCUCCUAGUACGAGAGGACCGGAGUGGACGCAUCACUGGUGUUCGGGUUGUCAUGCCAAUGGCACUGCCCGGUAGCUAAAUGCGGAAGAGAUAAGUGCUGAAAGCAUCUAAGCACGAAACUUGCCCCGAGAUGAGUUCUCCCUGACCCUUUAAGGGUCCUGAAGGAACGUUGAAGACGACGACGUUGAUAGGCCGGGUGUGUAAGCGCAGCGAUGCGUUGAGCUAACCGGUACUAAUGAACCGUGAGGCUUAACCUU
rnacentral:rRNA from 1 species